rnacentral:rRNA from 1 species
UCGGCCUAUGUCCUAUCAGGUAGUUGGUGAGGUAAGAGCUCACCAAGCCUAUGACGGGUAGCGGGUCUGAGAGGAUGAUCCGCCACACUGGUACUGAGACACGGACCAGACUCCUACGGGAGGCAGCAGUGGGGAAUAUUGCACAAUGGACGAAAGUCUGAUGCAGCAACGCCGCGUGGAGGAUGACACAUUUCGGUGCGUAAACUCCUUUUAUAUGAGAAGAUAAUGACGGUAUCAUAUGAAUAAGCACCGGCUAACUCCGUGCCAGCAGCCGCGGUAAUACGGAGGGUGCAAGCGCUAUUCGGAAUCACUGGGCGUAAAGGGUGCGUAGGCGGUUUGGAAAGUCAGAUGUGAAAUCCUACAGCUUAACUGUAGAACUGCAUUUGAAACUUCCAGACUAGAAUACUGAAGGGGCAGAUGGAAUUAGUGGUGUAGGGGUAAAAUCCGUAGAUAUCACUAGGAAUACCGAAAGCGAAAGCGAUCCGCUGGGAAGUUAUUGACGCUGAGGCACGAAAGCGUGGGGAGCAAACGGGAUUAGAUACCCCGGUAGUCCACGCCCUAAACGAUGAAUGCUAGUCGUCGGAAAGCUCGUCUUUUCGGUGAUGCAGUUAACACAUUAAGCANUCCGCCUGGGGAGUACGGUCGCAAGAUUAAAACUCAAAGGAAUAGACGGGGACCCGCACAAGUGGUGGAGCAUGUGGUUUAAUUCGAAGAUACGCGAAGAACCUUACCUAGCCUUGACAUUGAUAGAAUCUGGUAGAGAUAUCGGAGUGCCUGCUUGCAGGAGCUUGAAAACAGGUGCUGCACGGCUGUCGUCAGCUCGUGUCGUGAGAUGUUGGGUUAAGUCCCGCAACGAGCGCAACCCUCGUCGUUAGUUGCUAACAGUUCGGCUGAGCACUCUAGCGAGACUGCCUUCGCAAGGAGGAGGAAGGUGAGGACGACGUCAAGUCAUCAUGGCCCUUAUGGCUAGGGCUACACACGUGCUACAAUGGGGCGUACAGAGAGUUGCGAUACCGCGAGGUGGAGCCAAUCUCAUAAAGCGUCUCUCAGUUCGGAUUGUUCUCUGCAACUCGAGAACAUGAAGCUGGAAUCACUAGUAAUCGUAGAUCAGCAAUGCUACGGUGAAUACGUUCCCGGGUCUUGUACUCACCGCCCGUCACACCAUGGGAGUUGAU